ACGCGUGAGGAACCUGCCUUGGAGAGGGGGAAUAACACUCCGAAAGGAGUGCUAAUACCGCAUGAUGCAGUUGGGUCGCAUGGCUCUGACUGCCAAAGAUUUAUCGCUCUGAGAUGGCCUCGCGUCUGAUUAGCUAGUAGGCGGGGUAACGGCCCACCUAGGCGACGAUCAGUAGCCGGACUGAGAGGUUGACCGGCCACAUUGGGACUGAGACACGGCCCAGACUCCUACGGGAGGCAGCAUG
rnacentral:rRNA from 1 species